rnacentral:rRNA from 1 species
CCUACGGGAGGCAGCAGUGGGGAAUCUUGCGCAAUGGGCGAAAGCCUGACGCAGCCACGCCGCGUGAAUGAUGAAGGUCUUAGGAUUGUAAAAUUCUUUCACCGGGGACGAUAAUGACGGUACCCGGAGAAGAAGCCCCGGCUAACUUCGUGCCAGCAGCCGCGGUAAUACGAAGGGGGCUAGCGUUGCUCGGAAUUACUGGGCGUAAAGGGAGCGUAGGCGGACAUUUAAGUCAGGGGUGAAAUCCCGGGGCUCAACCUCGGAAUUGCCUUUGAUACUGGGUGUCUUGAGUAUGAGAGAGGUGUGUGGAACUCCGAGUGUAGAGGUGAAAUUCGUAGAUAUUCGGAAGAACACCAGUGGCGAAGGCGACACACUGGCUCAUUACUGACGCUGAGGCUCGAAAGCGUGGGGAGCAAACAGGAUUAGAUACCCUGGUAGUCCACGCCGUAAACGAUGAUUGCUAGUUGUCGGGAUGCAUGCAUUUCGGUGACGCAGCUAACGCAUUAAGCAAUCCGCCUGGGGAGUACGGUCGCAAGAUUAAAACUCAAAGGAAUUGACGG